CUGUCCAAGCAGCUCGGGGUGACCACCGCCGACGU
rnacentral:sRNA from 1 species